GCGGGAGUGCGGGGCCAAGUCGUCUAGUCUGCCGGCCGACUCCGGACGACGCGCACGGCGCGACUCCGCCACGCGAACUUGUCGUACGACAUGAAACUGUGACGUGUGUUUUGUUUAGAACUCGGAUUAAGAUAUCAAAACACCACAACAAUGCUAUAAGAUGAGAAUAGCAGUGCCUCCCAGUUCGUCACGCGCAGAAUGUGAGGGGAGCUAGCCAGUGUCAUGCAACUUGUAAUGCUAAACUUUCUAAUCAUGUUCGACGUGGUGUUCAUAUUCUUCUUGUUCCUGAUCGCUGUGACUUGUGUUAUGAACUACAUGCCGGGCCGAAGCAAGCGCUCCGAGGUGACGGAAGAUGAGGUGGAUGAUGACGUCAUCCCUCCCCCGCCACUGUUCGCGGGAGAUGACGAUGAGGUUCCUACAGCUAGUCGAGACACGUACGUGGUGAUCGCGCCGCCGCUAGACAACGUUAGAGCUAAUAAGGGCAGCUGUCCUGUACAUGUGGUGUAGUAUAAGCACUGAUAUAAUAUAUCAACGUAGGAGUUUAUUAUGAAGAAGCCUUAUGAGAAUGUAGGUGUCGAAAUGUAGACAUUUUUUACCAAUUAGUCGAGUUUAAAUAAAUUCUUGUUAUAAAGACUAAGACGGUGGAACACGGGAAUCAAAUGGAUAUAAUGAGUUGGUCUGUAACAUGGGUACUAUCAGAAUUAACCUCUUUCGAUUGCACUUUAUGAAGAAAUAGAUAUAAAUAUAGAGCUGUAACGCGAACGUUAUUAUAAUAAAUGUACCUAUAGGGGGCCGUGUAUAUUGAAAUGAAAUAAAAAAUAGUUGCAGUGUUAUGAAUUGAAUAGAGAUUUUGUUACUAUACAAAAGUUCGCUACCGCAUAACGCAUUGUAUAUGUUGUAUCAAUUAUAUUCGGGAUUUCAAUGGCGUUAUCCUCGCUGUGACGGAUUUAGGAGCCAUAUCACAGAGCCCUGACAACAGGGGACUACGCUGCAAAUAUAUAAUAGGCAAAAAAACGCAAAUAGUAUAAAACUGAAUAGAACUUUUUCCGAAUAAAAGAGGUUUUUAUCUUUUUCAACGGUACACGCGGCAAAGCCACGCUUAAUCGAAUGUCAAUAACAUAUUGAACGUAUAAUUGAAACAUCUGUUUGCUCGCUAUAAGAAUAAAUAGCAAUUUCUUUUGUAAAAUUUUAUCGCCUAAUUUUAUACUUUCUUGAAGGCCUAAUAAAGUUCAGUUUUUAUUGCUGUAACGACCAUUAACGAAAUCGUUUGUUACGCCUAACAAAGUCUAUGUAUUCGAGUGAAUAAAUAAUUUGUUACGUAAAGUGUUCAAUUUUCAGAGCAAAUAUUUGCAAGUGCUUGUUGAAGAUGAAUGUGACUGAAUUAUAAGUAAAUGGUUAAUAAUGUUAGAGUAAUAAUUAGUUAUACGUUUCGCUUGCCACAGUAUUUUGUAUGAAAUACUUAAUUACAACAUUAUGCUAAUAUUUAUUUUAUAGGUUUAGUCUGCUAAUAUAUUGGGAGUAGUUUAAGGAGUUUCAAAUGGCUGCCUAAUGUUUCGAGUUAUAUUUAUUCUGAGUGUUCUGAAUAGAUAUGUAUCUAUAUAAAGCUGUUUGCUUUUUAAAUAAAUUGAUAUCGUAAAGUUGGGUGUAUCGACAACUCUGUAUAGGUACCUAAUGUUUAAAAAAAAACAGAUAUAAUACAAUGCGGAAUUCAUACUAUCAUCUGUAACUGAAUACUAGUUUUUCGCCCCUUCUAUACAUCCAUAGCUACAUUUAUUGAAUCCAAAAAUAUUGUUGUGAAACCUUGUCAAAGUUCUCAUUCACAAAAUAUGCUGCUUCAGUCCCCUGCCGGCUUAUCCUAUAAUCUUGUCUAUUUCCGGACUUUAGGGUGUGUUCAAAUGUCACUGGCUGAUAUAGACCUGUCAAACGUGUUCGAAAUUCAAAUUGUAAUUUCCGUUGUUAAUGGCUGUUGAGAGGGUCUUUUAAUUUUCGAAUUCUGUUUUUGGAUAUGUCAAAAUGUCAAGUGUGACUGCAAGCCAGUAACAAACGAGAAUCGGAUAAUAUUCGACACUCAUGUAUGUAUGUAUAAGUUUGGUUAAACUCAUUGAUGUAGAAAGCCAUAUAUCCAAUAUUUCCCCUUUGUUCUGAACAUGGAGUUCGCCCCAAAUUAUUAUAUCAUCAGUGUGAUAUUGAGUUUGAACUAGUGUCGUCGGAACGCACCCUUCAUUUCUCUAUCUAUCUAUAUGAACAUGCCCCCUCCCUCCUAUGUAUUAGCAAAAGGCCCCACACAACGCUUCCCCGCUUGCGUCGACAUUCAAUUAUUCGCAAUUAAGGAUAAACUUUGAAUAAUUGACUAUUCAAACAAUACAAAAUAUCAAUAGACUAACACAGACAUUUAGUAAUAGUUUAUACAUUAGUAUUUAAGAAAUUAUUAUAAUAAUAAAAACGACAAUACAUGUUACGAAUGUUUUCUCAUAUCAUUCUGGUUAAGUGGAGUUUAUUGUUCGGGUAAUUAGUGUUCUUGUGUUUUUGUUUUUAUAAUAUCCAUUUACUAUGGAAAUAUCUUGUUACCCAUUUUUUGUAGGUAGAGAAAUAAUUUUAUUUGGAACCAAAAUCUUAUGUAAUAGACCGGUGUAAUCAAAAAUAGCAUAUAGGAACAGUCGACGACAAUAUACGGCAAACAAAAUAUUUUCGACUCACUAUAUAGAGGCAUAGCACCGGACUUUGCGGGUACAAUAAGUUAUAACCUUGUAAUACUUAGUAAUUCGAUAACUGUUUUAAACGAAAUACAUAUUGAAGUACCAGUAUCAAGUCACUUAUGUUGCUAACUGUACCUCUAUGAAAUAAAUAAGGGUGUCUUUUCAGUAUAAAAACCCGAGUACGGGUACGAAAGUAAACAAAGUGGGCGCGGCUCGCGACUCAGUGCCACUGAACUGAGUUGGAAGGAAAAAAACACAAAAUUUCUGCAUAGUCACCAACUAAAUUCAGCUUUACGAGCAUAUAAUAAAAUAUUUAAUAUAAUAACAUCAUUAAUCAACCGUGAACCGCAUCCAUUUGACGAAAUAAAAUUACAUUAUUUUACAAUUUGACAUGUUAAAACGUAAACGUUCCAAAGAUAAUUAAAAACAUAAUAGAUAUUUCUUUCGACAUUGCCGGCCCAAAUAUUAAUGGAUCCGUUAAAAUUCUUGGAAACUUCGAAAAGCUGUGUUCAUUAAGUAUUUGUUGGAUACCCUUUAAAUCAUUCUAAGUCUUGGAAAUACCGGGUAAUUUGUGAAAAGCUGAAAUGUAUAUUAUAAUCUUUAUUACAUUAUUUUUAUCCUAAAGUAGAAUUUAUUUGUUUUUUUUCCAGUCAUAUAGAUUGUAGGUACCUGAAACAAAUUAUAUAACACAAAAAUGUAACUAAAGAGGUAAAAAUAAAAAUAAAAUAAAUUAUCCAAAUUCGAAUAGUAAUGAGUAUAAAAUCAAAAACAUACACUAUGUGAUAUAAAUAUACACAAUUUUUAAAAUGUAGUUGUAUAGAAAAACUAAAGCAUUGUUUUGAAUUUAUUGUUAUACUUGCGUUGUCUGAGGACGCAUAAUAAUGAUGUAAUGAAUAAAAUGCACUAAGGCAGUGUCGUCAUAACAUGA
rnacentral:lncRNA from 1 species